CAAAGUGCUGACAGUGCAGGUAGUGAUGGGACCUUCUACUGCAGUGUAAGCACUUCCUGU
rnacentral:pre_miRNA from 1 species